AUUGAACGCUGGCGGCAGGCCUAACACAUGCAAGUCGAGCGGAUGAAGGGAGCUUGCUCCUGGAUUCAGCGGCGGACGGGUGAGUAAUGCCUAGGAAUCUGCCUGGUAGUGGGGAUAACGUCCGGAAACGGGCGCUAAUACCGCAUACGUCCUGAGGGAGAAAGUGGGGGAUCUUCGGACCUCACGCUAUCAGAUGAGCCUAGGUCGGAUUAGCUAGUUGGUGGGGUAAAGGCCUACCAAGGCGACGAUCCGUAACUGGUCUGAGAGGAUGAUCAGUCACACUGGAACUGAGACACGGUCCAGGCUCCUACGGGAGGCAGCAGUGGGGAAUAUUGGACAAUGGGCGAAAGCCUGAUCCAGCCAUGCCGCGUGUGUGAAGGAGGUCUUCCGAAUGUAAAGCACUUUAAGUUGGGAGGAAGGGCAGUAAGUUAAUACCCUGCUGUUUUGACGUUACCAACAGAAUAAGCACCGGCUAACUUCGUG
rnacentral:rRNA from 1 species